UAGUGCCGUCGCGACUGGCGCCGGGUGGAUCACCACCGGGGAGCGGCAUGACACGCAGAUCCGGGGUCGCCCGCCUGGGCCGCGGAU
rnacentral:ncRNA from 1 species